AAAAGGUGGCGGCGGCGGUGGCGGCGGUAGCCAUGAUGCAUUGCUUGUUUUGGGUGUCUGAGGUAAACAUGUAGGCUUGGGUGGUGGCUUUGGCACUCUUGGCAAUCUUUCCCUGGUUGCUGUUGGUGAACCUGAAAACUCUGGCCUAGAAAUUGAGUUGUCACAUGUUAAUCCUUCAUCUGUGUUGUUGCUCUGAACCAUUUGCUUUUCCUGCAAGAAACUGUUAUUGCCGAUAGAACCUUGCAGCUUCUUCCACAGCAUGGAUCUACGAUCGGAAUCUUGGGCUCGAAGUGAAGCUAUUUGGAUUUUCAGAUUGUGGAUUUCUUGCCUCAAUUGCUCAUUCUCCUUCUCCAGAGAGUGGUUCCUCUCAAGGGAAGCAUUGAGCCUGUUUUUAAGGAGAGCAACUGAUGAUGCAAUCUUUCGUCCCUUUCAUUCUUCUAAUUGGCUGGUAGGUGAGAUUACUUAAUUCUCCUCUGCUAAAAGAUCUGCGACUCUCUCGAAAGAAAAGCAAGAAGACAUUUAGGUAAGGGUGAGCUUGUCAUUUGAGAAUGGUUUCAUGACUGAGAUGUACUUUUUCAGGUAGGUAAGUCUGGGUUCAUGGUCAUAAUUGGGUUUGCUUGGGGUAAAAAUGGUUGAUACGGGGUAGCUGUCUUGGCAAGGUAUGUUGUUGGACUCUCACUAAAAUUACUGGUCAAAGGACUAAAGAUGGCCAGCUUUUCUUUUCUUCUUUA